UACGGAGGGUGCAAGCGUUGUCCGGAUUUAUUGGGUUUAAAGGGUGCGUAGGCGGCCCGUUAAGUCAGUGGUGAAAGCCUCCAGCUCAACUGGAGAACUGCCAUUGAUACUGACGGGCUUGAGUACAGACGAGGUUGGCGGAAUUGAUUGUGUAGCGGUGAAAUGCAUAGAUACAAUCAAGAACUCCGAUUGCGUAGGCAGCUAACUAGGCUGUAACUGACGCUGAGACACGAAAGCGUGGGGAGCGAACAGG
rnacentral:rRNA from 1 species